AUGGCUCCAGCCCCCAGCCAGGCUGGUCUUCCAGGGAGCCGGGCAGGGAAAGGGCUCUCUGGUCCGCGGCUGACAAGGGAGCAGCCCGUGCUGGGCUGCAGGAAACCCGACACUGGGGGCCGACAGAGAGCUGGAGCCCCCGGUCGCCUCCGAGGCCCCCGAGGCCCUGCUCACUGGCUGGGGCCGCUUCCAGGGCCAGGGUUCCCACGGAGCCUGGUUAGCCCCCAGAGGGCCCUGCUCUCUGGAGGGCAUCUGCCUUCCCUGCCCCCUCCCAUCUCCCCUUCCUCCUUCUCCUUUCCUUCCCCUUCCUCUAUCUUUUCCUCCUCCUCCCUUUCCUCUUCCCUCUCCUCCUUUCCUUCCUCCUCUUUUCCCCUCCUCCUCCUUUCGUUCUUCUUCAUUUUCCCCUUUCCUUCUUUUCCUCUUCCUCCUUUUCCCUUUCCCUUUCUUCACCUUUUCUUCUUCCCUCUUCUCCUUCCCUUCCUUUUUUUCCUCCCCCUCCUCUUUUUCUUCUUCUCUUUCCUCUCCUCUUCCUUUUCUUUUCCUCCUCUUCCUUCUCCUUUUUUUCCUCCUCCCUUUGCUUUUUUCCUCUCCUUCCUCCCUUUCCUUCCCUCCUCCUAUUUCUUCUCCUUUUUCCCCUCCCCUUCCUCCUUUUCCCCUUUCUCCCCUUCCUCCUUUUUCUUUUCUUCCUUUCCUCCUCCUUUUUCUCCUCCCCUCCCUCCUCCUCCUCUGAGGACCAUUUCUUUUGUCCUGGAGGGCCAUGGUGACUCCUCAGGAAGGGGGGGAGAGGUAGGAAGCCCGACCCCCCAAGGGCAGAGGAGUAAAAGAGGCUCUGGGGCAGGUUUCCUGGGGGGGGGGGUCUGGGAACCUGCAUCCACAGCCACAGACCUUGUUCAUCCCGCUCCCCUUCCCCCCCUUCCCCCUGCCCCCCCCCAGGACCUAGAACAGGAGGUGGAAGGUGCUGGCGCAGAUUUUGGCUCCAUGUAUGGAAAAACCGAAUCCUGAUGUGAAUAAGCGAAGGCGGUGAGUUCAUCGAUGUGGAAAACUCCCCCGGCUUCCUCCCCCACCCAGCCCGGGAAGUUGGAGGUCAUCCAGAUCCCGGCCGCUCCGAGCCCGUCCCAGCCCUUUUCCCAGAGGAAGGGUCUUCAGUCUGGGAUCUUCAGGAGUCCCAGUCCCGCCUACUUCCCCCGGCCCAGCCUAAAGAGUGCACGCGCGCUGCCCCGGGGGGAGGGAGGAGGCGCUAUCUGCACCGGGGAAGGGCCGGGACUGCCCGGGAGAGGCGGUGGCCGCGGCGGCCUCGGCUCCUUUAAGAGCCCCGCCCCACCGUGGCCUCGCCCCUUCCUGCGCUGGAGGCGGGCGGAGCCGAACCGGGCUGUGGAGGUUGGGGCCGGGACCGAGGCCGGGACCGGGAGAGGCUGAGAGGCCGGGCCGGGACCCAGACCCAGAUCGGAUCCAGAGCCGGACCCAGACCCGGAUCCAGACCCAGAUCCAGAGAGAUCCAGACACAAGCUGAGCGAGGGAGGAGGAGGAGGAGGAGGAGG